GAGUGAACGCUGGCGGUGUGCUUAACACAUGCAAGUCGAACGAGAACGGACUAAAGUUUUACUUUAGUUGUCAGCUAAGUGGCGCACGGGUGAGUAAUCUAUAGCUAACCUACCCUAAAGAGGGGGAUAAUUAAAUGGAAACGUUUUGUAAUACCCUAUAACCUCUUAUCUACACAAAGUGUAUAAGAGAAAACUUUAGUUGCUUUAGGAUGGGGCUGUAUUGUAUCAGCUAGUGUGUGUAAUGGACCACCAAGGCUAUGACGCAUAACUGGUUUGAGAGGAUGAUCAGUCACACUGGAACUGAGACACGGUCCAGACUCCUACGGGAGGCGAGCAGUGGGGAAUAGUUGCACAAUGGGGGAAACCCUGAUGCAGCAACACCGCGUGGAGG
rnacentral:rRNA from 1 species